rnacentral:lncRNA from 1 species
AUCUAUUACCUUGCAAGUUAGAUAUUCUAACCUUACUGAUUCAGGCUUGAGGAUGAUGUUGCAAACCGUACAUACAUUCGAUCUCUAGAAAUCAUCCACACGAGCCCAUGAAUCUCGACCAAAAGUCCUGCUUCAGAAAAUCAGCACAGUAUGCUAGUACUGUGCUGAUCCUUCUUCGAUGGUUGAUCAGGUACCUCUUUUUUCUUGAUUUGGGCUCUUCCAAAGUUGAGAAGUAGGAGGAGAAAUUCUAGAUCUGAGACACUCUCAGAAAACUCAAGAUGGAGGAAGGGAAG